AUGGCCUACGCCGUCCGGAUCCAGCUGUCGUGUUUGCUCCAAUCGAGUCACACCUCCGGUGACUUCGGACUGUGCAGCAACCUCCGUCAUCAAACUGCAACAGUCGCUCAGCCCCCAUCUCCGAUCGUCCUCACCGCCUCACACAACUCUCAAUCGCGGAACGCCAUCACUGCUUGGAACCACAGGCCGCCAUCCUCGCGCCACCAACAACCUCAUCCGCGAACCGCCGUGAUUCCAGCCACACCAUCGAUAGCGCUUCCCUCUGUUUCAGAUCUCGCCGCCGGUAACCUAUUCCAUGCUCUCAUUUAA